rnacentral:misc_RNA from 1 species
GAUGAAGAACGCAGCGAAAUGCGAUAAGUAAUGUGAAUUGCAGAAUUCAGUGAAUCAUCGAAUCUUUGAACGCACAUUGCGCCCGCCAGUAUUCUGGCGGGCAUGCCUGUCCGAGCGUCAUUUCAACCCUCGAACCCCUCCGGGGGGUCGGCGUUGGGGAUCGGCCCUUUACGGGGCCGGCCCCGAAAUACAGUGGCGGUCUCGCCGCAGCCUCUCCUGCGCAGUAGUUUGCACACUCGCAUCGGGAGCCCGGCGCGUCCACAGCCGUUAAACACCCCAAACUUCUGAAAUGUUGACCUCGGAUCAGGUAGGAAUACCCGCUGAACUUAAGCAUAUCAAUAAGCGGAGGA